UACGUAGGGGGGCAAGCGUUGUCCGGAUUUACUGGGCGUAAAGAGCGUGUAGGCGGCCACGCAGGUCCGUUGUGAAAACUGGAGGCUCAACCUCCAGCUGUCGACGGAAACCGUAUGGCUAGAGUCCGGAAGAGGAGAGUGGAAUUCCUGGUGUAGCGGUGAAAUGCGCAGAUAUCAGGAAGAACACCAAUGGCGAAGGAGCUCUCUGGGACCGGUACUGACGCUGAGACGCGAAGCGUGGGAGCGAACAGG
rnacentral:rRNA from 1 species